ACGAGAGCGCGUGUCUUAGUUUUCGCUUUGCUCAUACAAUUAGGUCCUGAAAGCAACGAACGUGACCGCAACCUCUUGUUGCCUUUAUACCAAACAUGUUUUGCGUCAAUUUUCGAAUUGCGCGCAUUUCAUGAAAAAAGGCUUUUUAAACUAGAGGGACCGCUGUUACUUUAUUAAACCAGAGGAAGGUUGCGGCAAUAACAGGUCUGUGAUGCCCUUAGAUGUUCCGGGCUGCACACGUGCUACAAUGAUUAUUGCAGUGAGCAUCUCAUUUUUACACACCGCAUGCGCGAGUCCAUUUAUUCACCUUCGGGUGUUUUAAAUGUGUAUCUCUGCGCGCGGUAAAGCCUGCUUCGACUAGUAAGUGGGUAAUCAAUUAGAAGUAAUGAUUUCCUUUUUUUUAGCACACAUAUAUACGGCGUCUAUGCCCGGGUUACCUUGUUGUAGCUUUUGUGCGUAUAGAUGUUUUUUCCGUAUGUGCGAUUGUCAAUUCAUGGUGGGGACAGACCAUUGUUAAUUGUUGGUCUCGGUCUUAACUAGGAAUGCCUUGUACGGGUCUUUGGUUCAACAAACCACCCGGAAUACGUCCCUGCCCUUUGUACACACCGCCCGUCGCUCUUACCGAUGGACUUCUCUGUGAGUUUGAGGGACUGG
rnacentral:rRNA from 1 species